GGGGAAGUAGCUCAACUGGUAGAGCAUUAACACAUUGUGAAUUGAUCAUAUUUUGGUCUGUUUCUUGCUGAAACAAGGUUCGAGGUUCGAAUUCUCGCUUCUCCA
rnacentral:tRNA from 1 species